UUGCUAUGGCUGCACAUAUACUAAAAUUGGAUUGAUACAGAGAGGAUUAUCAUUGCCCCUGCGAAAGGAUGACAUACAAAUCCGUGAAAUGCUCCAUAUUUUU
ensembl:snRNA U6 U6 spliceosomal RNA